AGCGAACGCUGGCGGCAGGCCUAACACAUGCAAGUCGAACGAACCUUUCGGGGUUAGUGGCGGACGGGUGAGUAACACGUGGGAACGUGCCUUUAGGUUCGGAAUAACUCAGGGAAACUUGUGCUAAUACCGAAUGUGCCCUUCGGGGGCAAGAUUUAUCGCCUUUAGAGCGGCCCGCGUCUGAUUAGCUAGUUGGUUGAGGUAAUGGCUCACCAAGGCUACGAUCAGUAGCUGGUCUGAGAGGAUGAUCAGCCACAUUGGGACUGAGACACGGCCCAAACUCCUACGGGAGGCAGCAGUGGGGAAUCUUGCGCAAUGGGCGAAAGCCUGACGCAGCCAUGCCGCGUGAAUGAUGAAGGUCUUAGGAUUGUAAAAUUCUUUCACCGGGGACGAUAAUGACGGUACCCGGAGAAGAAGCCCCGGCUAACUUCGUG
rnacentral:rRNA from 1 species